GGGCCCGCACAAGCGGUGGAGCAUGUGGUUUAAUUCGAUGAUACGCGAGGAACCUUACCAGGGCUUAAAUGCAUAUUGACAGGGUCAGAGAUGACUUUUCCUUCGGGCAAUUUGCAAGGUGCUGCAUGGUUGUCGUCAGCUCGUGCCGUGAGGUGUCAGGUUAAGUCCUAUAACGAGCGCAACCCCUACCGUUAGUUGCCAGCAUGUCAUGAUGGGGACUCUAACGGGACUGCCGGUGCAAACCGUGAGGAAGGUGGGGAUGACGUCAAAUCAUCACGGCCCUUACGUCCUGGGCCACACACGUGCUACAAUGGCAGGUACAGAGAGCAGCCACGUCGCAAGGCGGAGCGAAUCUAUAAAACCUGUCACAGUUCGGAUCGGGGUCUGCAACUCGACCCCGUGAAGCUGGAAUCGCUAGUAAUCG
rnacentral:rRNA from 1 species